UGAUGCAGCAACGCCGCGUGGAGGAUGAAGGUCUUUGGAUUGUAAACUCCUUUCUGCGGGACGAGGAAGGACGGUACCGCAGGAAUAAGUCACGGCUAACUACGUGCCAGCAGCCGCGGUAAUACGUAGGUGGCGAGCGUUAUCCGGAAUUACUGGGCGUAAGGCGCACGCAGGCGGCUUGUCGGGUCUGACGUGAAAUCUCUUGGCUUAACCGGGAGGGGUCGUUGGAAACUGGCGAGCUUGAGGCGAUGAGAGGGACAUGGAAUUCCCGGUGUAGUGGUGGAAUGCGUAGAUAUCGGGAGGAACACCAGAGGCGAAAGCGGUGUCCUGGCAUUGGCCUGACGCUCAUGUGCGAAAGCGUGGGGAGCGAACGGGAUUAGAUACCCCGGUAGUCCACGCGGUAAACGAUGAAUACUGGGUGUAGGCGGGGUUAGAGCCGUCUGUGCCGAAGCCAACGCGUUAAGUAUUCCGCCUGGGGAGUACGGCCGCAAGGCUA
rnacentral:rRNA from 1 species